rnacentral:rRNA from 1 species
GAUGAACGCUGGCGGCAUGCCUAAUACAUGCAAGUCGAGGGGCAUCAGUUUGGUUUGCUUGCAGACCAAAGCUGGCGACCGGCGCACGGGUGAGUAACACGUAUCCAACCUGCCUCAUACUCGGGGAUAGCCUUUCGAAAGAAAGAUUAAUAUCCGAUAGCAUAUAUUUCCCGCAUGGGUUUUAUAUUAAAGAAAUUCGGUAUGAGAUGGGGAUGCGUUCCAUUAGUUUGUUGGGGGGUAACGGCCCACCAAGACUACGAUGGAUAGGGGUUCUGAGAGGAAGGUCCCCCACAUUGGAACUGAGACACGGUCCAAACUCCUACGGGAGGCAGCAGUGAGGAAUAUUGGGUCAAUGGACGCGAGUCUGAACCAGCCAAGU